rnacentral:piRNA from 1 species
GUUCACAGCAGUAAAACCCUAAAGCAGAA